ACUCCUACGGGAGGCAGCAGUGGGGAAUAUUGCACAAUGGGGGAAACCCUGAUGCAGCCAUGCCGCGUGUGUGAAGAAGGCCUUCGGUUGUAAAGCACUUUCAGUAGGGAGGAAGGUAGUGUAGUUAACACCUGCACUAUUUGACGUUACCUACAGAAGAAGCACCGGCUAACUCCGUGCCAGCAGCCGCGGUAAUACGGAGGGGUGCGAGCGUUAAUCGGAAUUACUGGGCGUAAAGCGCAUGCAGGCGGCCUGUUAAGUCAGAUGUGAAAGCCCGGGGGCUUAACCUCGGAAUUGCAUUUGAAACUGGCAGGCUAGAGUCUUGUAGAGGGGGUAGAAUUUCAGGUGUAGCGGUGAAAUGCGUAGAGAUCUGAAGGAAUACCAGUGGCGAAGGCGGCCCCCUGGACAAAGACUGACGCUCAGAUGCGAAAGCGUGGGGAGCAAACAGGAUUAGAUACCCUGGUAGCACAGAG
rnacentral:rRNA from 1 species